rnacentral:rRNA from 1 species
ACUACGGGAGGCAGCAGUGGGGAAUAUUGGACAAUGGGCGAGAGCCUGAAGGAGCAAAGUAGCGUGGAGGAUGACUGCCCUAGGGGUUGAAAACUUCGUUUAUAAAGGAGUAAAUUGGUGCGCGUGUGUGUUUAUGUAUGUACGUUAUGAAUACGGAUAGACUAACUCCGUGCCAGCAGCCGCGGUAAUACGGAGGAUCCGAGCGUUAUCCGGAUUUAUUUGGUGUAAAGGGAACGUAGUUGGGUUUUUAAGUCUGAUGUGAAAGUUUGCGGCUUAACCGUAAAAUUGCAAUUGAUACUGGCAGUCUUGAGUACAGUUGAGGUAGGCGGAAUUCGUGGUGUAGCGGUGAAAUGCUUAGAUAUCACGAAGAACUCCGAUUGCGAAGGCAGCUCUCUAGACUGUCACUGACACUGAUGCUCGAAAGUGUGGGUAUCAAACAGGAUUAGAUACCCUAGUAGUC